rnacentral:rRNA from 1 species
AGAGCGAACGCUGGCGGCAGGCUAUACAUGCAAGUCGAGCGGCCCUUCGGGGCAGCGGCGGACGGGUGAGUAACGCGUGGGAGCGGGCCCUUUGGUACGGGAUAACUGAGGGAAACUUCAGCUAAUACCGUAUGUGCCCUACGGGGGAAAGAUUUAUCGCCAUUGGAGCGGCCCGCGUUGGAUUAGCUAGUUGGUGGGGUAAAGGCUCACCAAGGCUACGAUCCAUAGCUGGUCUGAGAGGAUGAUCAGCCACACUGGGACUGAGACACGGCCCAGACUCCUACGGGAGGCAGCAGUAGGGAAUCUUGCGCAAUGGGCGAAAGCCUGACGCAGCCAUGCCGCGUGAAUGAUGAAGGUCUUAGGAUUGUAAAAUUCUUUCACCGGGGAAGAUAAUGACGGUACCCGGAGAAGAAGCCCCGGCUAACUUCGUGCCAGCAGCCGCGGUAAUACGAAGGGGGCUAGCGUUGCUCGGAAUUACUGGGCGUAAAGGGCGCGUAGGCGGAUGUUUAAGUCGGGGGUGAAAGCCCGGGGCUCAACCUCGGAAUUGCCUUCGAUACUGGACAUCUUGAGUACGGGAGAGGUGAGUGGAACUCCGAGUGUAGAGGUGAAAUUCGUAGAUAUUCGGAAGAACACCAGUGGCGAAGGCGACUCACUGGCCCGUUACUGACGCUGAGGCGCGAAAGCGUGGGGAGCAAACAGG